rnacentral:rRNA from 1 species
GCCUACGGCCAUACCAGUCUGAAAGUGCCCGAUCUCAUCAGAUCUCAGAAGUUAUGCAGACUUGGGCCUGCUUAGUACUUGUAUGGGAGACCAACUAGGAACCUCAGGUGCCGUAAGCU